UAAGCGGAGGAAAAGAAACCAACAGGGAUUGCCUCAGUAGCGGCGAGUGAAGCGGCAAGAGCUCAGAUUUGAAAUCGUGCUUUGCGGCACGAGUUGUAGAUUGCAGGUUGGAGUCUGUGUGGAAGGCGGUGUCCAAGUCCCUUGGAACAGGGCGCCCAGGAGGGUGAGAGCCCCGUGGGAUGCCGGCGGAAGCAGUGAGGCCCUUCUGACGAGUCGAGUUGUUUGGGAAUGCAGCUCCAAGCGGGUGGUAAAUUCCAUCUAAGGCUAAAUACUGGCGAGAGACCGAUAGCGAACAAGUACUGUGAAGGAAAGAUGAAAAGCACUUUGAAAAGAGAGUGAAACAGCACGUGAAAUUGUUGAAAGGGAAGGGUAUUGCGCCCGACAUGGGGAUUGCGCACCGCUGCCUCUCGUGGGCGGCGCUCUGGGCUUUCCCUGGGCCAGCAUCGGUUCUUGCUGCAGGAGAAGGGGUUCUGGAACGUGGCUCUUCGGAGUGUUAUAGCCAGGGCCAGAUGCUGCGUGCGGGGACCGAGGACUGCGGCC
rnacentral:rRNA from 1 species